UACGGGAGGCAGCAGUGGGGAAUAUUGCACAAUGGGCGCAAGCCUGAUGCAGCCAUGCCGCGUGUAUGAAGAAGGCCUUCGGGUUGUAAAGUACUUUCAGUCGUGAGGAAGGUGUUAAGGUUAAUAACCUUAGCAAUUGACGUUAGCGACAGAAGAAGCACCGGCUAACUCCGUGCCAGCAGCCGCGGUAAUACGGAGGGUGCGAGCGUUAAUCGGAAUUACUGGGCGUAAAGGGCACGCAGGCGGUUAAUUAAGUUGGAUGUGAAAUCCCCGGGCUUAACCUGGGAAUGGCAUUCAAGACUGGUUAGCUAGAGUCUUGUAGAGGGGGUAGAAUUCCAUGUGUAGCGGUGAAAUGCGUAGAGAUGUGGAGGAAUACCGGUGGCGAAGGCGGCCCCUGGGACAAAGGGACCUGACGCUCAUGUGCGAAAGCGUGGGGAGCAAACAGGGAUUAGAUACC
rnacentral:rRNA from 1 species